CAGUCGUACCUUCGGGUAAUCAGCCUUUCGAGUGCGAUUCUGUGGAGUGUGAGGAGCUAAACACCUUCAUGUUUUGCAUAUUCGUGCACAUUUGGUGUACUUGUCCGUGUGGUGGGUUAACAUCAAUUUCGGUCGUCAUAAAAUGACUGGAGGAAUGUAGCUUCGAUCUUGUAUUGAAGUGUUAUAGCCUUCGGUAGAUGUGGUGAUCGAGAUUGAGGAUUGCAACGGAUACCCUUCGGGGCUACCUGUCUGGUCUCUGAUCGUUGCUCUGGUGCCGAAAGCUUGCUUACGGUUAUCAAAGUCGAUGGUCAAUAGGUUAGAACGGGUUAAAUUCGUUAAGGAUG
rnacentral:rRNA from 1 species